rnacentral:rRNA from 1 species
AACGAACGCUGGCGGCAGGCCUAACACAUGCAAGUCGAGCGCGCCCUUCGGGGUGAGCGGCGGCCGGGUGCGUAACGCGUGGGAACGUGCCCUUUUCUACGGAAUAGCCUCGGGAAACUGAGAGUAAUACCGUAUACGCCCUUUGGGGGAAAGAUUUAUCGGAAAAGGAUCGGCCCGCGUUGGAUUAGGUAGUUGGUGGGGUAAUGGCCUACCAAGCCGACGAUCCAUAGCUGGUUUGAGAGGAUGAUCAGCCACACUGGGACUGAGACACGGCCCAGACUCCUACGGGAGGCAGCAGUGGGGAAUCUUAGACAAUGGGGGCAACCCUGAUCUAGCCAUGCCGCGUGAGUGAUGAAGGCCUUAGGGUUGUAAAGCUCUUUCAGCUGGGAAGAUAAUGACGGUACCAGCAGAAGAAGCCCCGGCUAACUCCGUG